rnacentral:rRNA from 1 species
GACGAACGCUGGCGGCGUGCUUAACACAUGCAAGUCGAACGCUGAACCCGCUUCGGUGGGGGAUGAGUGGCGAACGGGUGAGUAACACGUGGGCAACCUGCCCCCGGCUCUGGGAUAACUCCAAGAAAUUGGGGCUAAUACCGGAUGUGACCGCUGGCCGCAUGGUCUGGUGGUGGAAAGGGUUUCCGGCUGGGGAUGGGCCCGCGGCCUAUCAGCUUGUUGGUGGGGUAGUGGCCUACCAAGGCGACGACGGGUAGCCGGCCUGAGAGGGUGACCGGCCACACUGGGACUGGGACACGGCCCAGACUCCUACGGGAGGCAGCAGUGGGGAAUAUUGCGCAAUGGGCGGAGGCCUGACGCAGCGACGCCGCGUGGGGGAUGACGGCCUUCGGGUUGUAAACCUCUUUCAGCAGGGACGAAGCGCAAGUGACGGUACCUGCAGAAGAAGCACCGGCCAACUACGU